rnacentral:rRNA from 1 species
UACGUAGGGACCGAGCGUUGUCCGGAUUCAUUGGGCGUAAAGAGCUCGUAGGCGGCCACUCAAGUCGAAUGUGAAACCUCGAGGCUUAACCUCGAGCCUGCAUUCGAUACUGGGCGGCUAGAGUCUGGUAGGGGGAUCUGGAAUUCCUGGUGUAGCGGUGGAAUGCGCAGAUAUCAGGAGGAACACCGGUGGCGAAGGCGGCACUCUGGGCCGGUACUGACGCUGAGGAGCGAAAGCGUGGGGAGCAAACAGG